ensembl:lncRNA
CCAAGACGGAGGCGGCCAUUCUGACCCAUGAGGAGGACAUUUUCUGGGGCUUAGCAAGUGACCAGCGGAGUUUAAAAGCCUGGAGGGAUCUCAAAGGCCCUCCAGGGACAAAAGUCCAUGCACACGGCCAGGUGCUCAUUAGUCCCUGGGGGCCGUCCGGCCUGGGGGGGGCAGCAUUACUGUGAUUAGAAACCCUCCCCCCCCAGAAGAACGUAAUUACCUCCUUUGUGCCCUGAAAAGUGAAAUGUUGGCUGCUCGUUGCCAUGGACACACAGGACUGUUUACGGCCUGGGCUUUUCCUGGUCCCGAGGCCAGCUCGGUGGCCACCCAGAGCACAGCCUUCACCACUAGCAGUGCAGGAGAGCCCGGGAGGCUGUGGGGACCCAGGACGCAGGCUCGGCCGCCCUCCCCGAUUUCAUCCGGGAACCGCUUCCAGGCAGGCGUCUGGACAAACGGCACCCAACGGAGCGCAGAGGCAGGAGCUCCCCCAGGCCGUUUCUGCAGCGCCUGGCGAAGCUGGAUUGAGAACCAUCAUGACACUGUGACCGACGGACGCCAUCCCGGCGCCAGGCUCCGGCAGAGGGGUGGCCUGCGUUGUCCUCUGCGCUGUGUCCCCUCUGGCUUCACCCCGAAGGCAACACCGCCACCUGAGAAACAACCACGCUCUCCCUUUUCCCCGAACUUCCCAGGAUCGGUUGGUUUUGCAGGACUGACGCCACUCCCCCGGAGGAAAGGACCCUGGGGCCUUGGCUCUGGCUCUAAAGUGACCACAACCGCACGUCCAUUUCUGGCGACCACGGCAAAGGACAACGCACCACGCGCCCCGCCCCAGGCGGGGUCGGGCACACGUCGGGCGGUGGGGCCAGUUUUCCCCGCAGGAUGUGAUCCGCUCCGCCCCAGACCCAGCCCGGCCCAGCACCCCACCCACGGACGGACGCGGACGGGGACCAGAGAGAUGGCCCUGUCCGGGGGCAGGGCCCCACUGGGAGGGGGCCGACUCGCAGAGCGACAACCAGAAACUUGUCGUGAUUUCGCAGGAGCGUGACGGAAUCCCUCCCUCCCUCUGCCUCAGCCUCUGGCCUGGCUGCUGCCUCUAGACCCGCUCGGGCCGAAGUCUCCCUGGUGCUGCCGCCAGGGACACGCUUCUGAGUCAGCUCCGCCUGGCCUUCCUGC